GUUUGAUCCUGGCUCAGAUUGAACGCUGGCGGCAUGCCUUACACAUGCAAGUCGAACGGCAGCACGGGUGCUUGCACCUGGUGGCGAGUGGCGAACGGGUGAGUAAUGUAUCGGAACGUACCAUUCAGUGGGGGAUAACUAUCCGAAAGGAUAGCUAAUACCGCAUAUUCUGUGAGCAGGAAAGCAGGGGAUCGCAAGACCUUGCGCUGAUUGAGCGGCCGAUAUCAGAUUAGCUAGUUGGUGGGGUAAAAGCCUACCAAGGCGACGAUCUGUAGCGGGUCUGAGAGGAUGAUCCGCCACACUGGAACUGAGACACGGUCCAGACUCCUACGGGAGGCAGCAGUGGGGAAUUUUGGACAAUGGGCGAAAGCCUGAUCCAGCCAUGCCGCGUGAGUGAAGAAGGCCUUCGGGUUGUAAAGCUCUUUCGGCCGGGAAGAAAUCGCAUAGGUUAAUACCCUGUGUGGAUGACGGUACCGGAAUAAGAAGCACCGGCUAACUACGUGCCAGCAGCCGCGGUUAAUACGUAGGGUGCGAGCGUUAAUCGGAAUUACUGGGCGUAAAGCGUGCGCAGGCGGUUUUUUAAGACAGGCGUGAAAUCCCCGGGCUUAACCUGGGAACUGCGCUUGUGACUGGAAGGCUAGAGUACGGCAGAGGGGGGUGGAAUUUCCACGUGUAGCAGUGAAAUGCGUAGAGAUGUGGAGGAACACCGAUGGCGAAGGCAGCCCCCUGGGCCGAUACUGACGCUCAUGCACGAAAGCGUGGGGAGCAAACAGGAUUAGAUACCCUGGUAGUCCACGCCCUAAACGAUGUCAACUAGGUGUUGGGUGGGUAAAACCAUUUAGUACCGGAGCUAACGCGUGAAGUUGACCGCCUGGGGAGUACGGCCGCAAGGUUAAAACUCAAAUGAAUUGACGG
rnacentral:rRNA from 1 species